UACGUAGGGUGCAAGCGUUGUCCGGAAUUAUUGGGCGUAAAGGGCUCGUAGGCGGUCUGUCACGUCGGGAGUGAAAACUCAGGGCUUAACCCUGAGCCUGCUUCCGAUACGGGCAGACUAGAGGUAUGCAGGGGAGAACGGAAUUCCUGGUGUAGCGGUGAAAUGUGUUGAUAUCGGAAGGAACGCCGGUGGCGAAAGCGAUCCGCUGGACCUCUUCUGACACUGAGGCGCGAAAGCCAGGGGAGCAAACGGG
rnacentral:rRNA from 1 species